UACGAAGGGGGCUAGCGUUACUCGGAAUUACUGGGCGUAAAGGGCGCGUAGGCGGCGUUCCAAGUUAGGCGUGAAAGUCCUGGGCUCAACCUGGGAACUGCGCUUAAGACUGGAAUGCUAGAGGAUGGAAGAGGGCUGUGGAAUUCCCAGUGUAGAGGUGAAAUUCGUAGAUAUUGGGAAGAACACCGGUGGCGAAGGCGGCAACCUGGUCCAUUUCUGACGCUGAGGCGCGAUAGCGUGGGGAGCAAACAGG
rnacentral:rRNA from 1 species